ACGCUGGCGGCACGCCUAACACAUGCAAGUCGAACGAAGUAGCAAUACUUAGUGGCAGACGGGUGAGUAACAUGUAGGUAUCUGCCCUUUGGCCUGGAAUAACACGAGGAAACUUGUGCUAAUACCGGAUAAGUCUUUACGGAGAAAGCUUUAUGCACCAUUGGAUGAGCCUGCACUUGAUUAGUUUGUUGGUGGGGUAAUGGCCUACCAAGACUGUGAUCAAUAGCUGAUUUGAGAGGAUGAUCAGCCACAUUGGGACUGAGACACGGCCCAAACUCCUACGGGAGGCAGCAGUGGGGAAUCUUGCACAAUGGAGGAAACUCUGAUGCAGCGAUGCCGCGUGAGUGAAGAAGGCCCUUGGGUUGUAAAGCUCUUUCGUCGGGGAAGAAAAUGACUGUACCCGAAUAAGAAGGUCCGGCUAACUUCGUGCCAGCAGCCGCGGUAAUACGAAGGGACCUAGCGUAGUUCGGAAUUACUGGGCUUAAAGAGUUCGUAGGUGGUUGAAAAAGUUGGUGGUGAAAUCCCAGAGCUUAACUCUGGAACUGCCAUCAAAACUUUUCAGCUAGAGUAUGAUAGAGGAAAGCAGAAUUUCUAGUGUAGAGGUGAAAUUCGUAGAUAUUAGAAAGAAUACCAAUUGCGAAGGCAGCUUUCUGGAUCAUUACUGACACUGAGGAACGAAAGCAUGGGUAGCGAAGAGGAUUAGAUACCCUCGUAGUCCAUGCCGUAAACGAUGUGUGUUAGACGUUGGAAACUCGUUUUCAGUGUCGCAGCGAAAGCGAUAAACACACCGCCUGGGGAGUACG
rnacentral:rRNA from 1 species